GACUGCUCGGGGUUAGGCUGGGCAUCGGUCAGCGGGUGGUAAUCACAGACAGCUAUCCAGCGAAGAAUUAUUUGAAUAUGCAUAAAACUUUACUUGAUUUCAAAAUCAAGGGGAUUUUUGUCUGAUUAAGCAUAUUUGAGGAUGAAAAAAGAACCAAUACAAGCCUUUAUACAAUACUUCAUGAACUCAGAGGAAUGCAUCAUUGAGGCUGCUGUGAAGAAAAUUAACUCCAUCUGAGGCAGACCCAGUAAAAGAUUGCUGGAUCAUUCUGAGGCACGAAGUUCACACAUCAGAUUAAAACAUUGGUACCUACAGAGGAGGUCUGUAUGCUACUAUGGGGGCUGCAUAUUCCUAUAAUAGUCGCAGAAGACAAUACAUUUUGUUUUCUUUAAUUCCCCAUUCUCUCUAUCUAAACUUCUUUUAUAAUACACAGAAUAAAACAUAAUUGUAGUAUAAUUUCCAUUAAAACUUUUAAAAGACAUACAUUUUAGGUUUUUCUUUAUUUUUAAAUCCAGAUUUUUUUUGAAACGCUAAUUCUGAUGCAAAAAGCUACUGGUGUCCCCCGACAAAAUUCAAAACAGUUUACUUUGUUCUUACUCUUUCAUUUCCCAUGUUACAUUUUAUUAUUAUUAUUAUUAUUAUUAUUAUUAUUAUUAUUAUUUAUCAUUUCCCCUUUCUGCUUCUUGAUUUCAAGUUCAGGACCUUUUUGUUAUUUAAUUUUACAGUUCUGUGUAACAGGCAAUGACAUCUCAUGACUGUGGCAUGUUAACAACAAGAUAUAUAUGACUUCAACAAUUCUGCUUCCACUGUGGGUGUAAAGCACCUCAUUUGUACACAUUCUUCCCUUUUACAAAAAGUACAGCUCAGCCUCAAAUGAAAGGAAUUCAAGGUUGGAAGUUAAAUCAUUCCAUGGGAAGGUUUGACCUUUAUUAAAUAAGACACUGUUACCCAUGACCACCAUCUGAUUAUCAUUCUCUAAACAAGUGUUCAUGGUUGAAACCUGAGACACUACAACAGACUAAUUACCAGAAAAGUGAGAAGAAAACCUAUUAAAGCAGUAGUGUAGUAGCGCUGACGUUAAGACAUCAAGGCUUUUAAAUAAAGUGAUAAAUCAACAAACAAAACAAAACAAACACGUCAAAACAAACAAAAAAAAAUCCUUGACCUAUUAAUGUACUAGAAAGAAACAGCUAAAGAGCUGUAUCUGUAAGCAGCAGCAGGAUGUAAAAUAUACUUAUGAAGUCCAGAAAAAAAAAGGAUUUAGGUAGAACAGACUAAAGAAUUCAAACAAACUAAGUAAAUGAUCAGUUCCUUGACAAAUAUGCCUACAAUUGAUAACAUUAAUGUUAUUAAAAUUAAUAUCUAAACUUAGAACAGUUGUGUCAUUACAGAAUAUAAACUAGCUAUAGAAACUCACAGAAACAAACUUCACAAAACAAAGAUUUCUUCAAGUAUAUUUUAAUGCUAUAAAAGAAGUAGGAUUCAUAAAGGAAUAAGUAAAUCAGUGACAAACCUUCUCUAGAUUAUAUCAUUCUAUAAUUCACAUAUACUGCAGAUUGAUCUAUCCAAAAAUAUUUUUGAAGUUCAGAGAAGAAAAUGAGACUGAGUAAGAUUUUUGGAAAAUUCAUCUAUCUGUGUAGGAAUAUGAGUUCUUAUCUUACAAAGAAAGGGAUGUUAAAAGCAUAUAGCAUAAAUGUGGGAGAAAUGAAUAAGUGGCUUCUGUUCUCCCUGUUAUGUAACAGAUGGACUAAGUGUCACUAAGUGAAAAUGAAAAUUGAGAAUUGAAAACUGAUGAAAAACAAAUAUUUUAAUGCUCAAUGUGUAAUUAGUCUGUAGGUCUCAUUGCAACCAUAGUUUAAGUUCUUUCAAAAUUUAAAUCUGGGAGGUACAGUGGCAAUUAAACAAGAGGUUUGAAAGCAACAAAUAAUAUAGCACAUCUCAGGAAUUAAACUUUUAUUUUACUAGUAUCAAAUUUUCACAAAAACCCAAAUUUGAAUAAGUGCAAGACAUUUCGCCACAUUAAGCAUCCAUUUUCUGGAGAGAGGAUAUGAAAAUAAAUGGACCACAAGUCAAAUUCAUCAGUCAACUAUUGUGUUCUUUUAUGUGUAUGUAUGUUUCUGAAGAAUUUGAAGACUAUAAAGACAACUCUUUCCUUCUUAAGACUACAAUCAAUACAGCCAGAAAUCAAACCUAAUAUCUCCUCAAUAAAUUAAUCAAUCGAGAUUUAUUAAGAAUGGAAAGAAAAAAGGUAUUCAAAAUCAUCUUCAGUAUGGCACUGGCCUGAAGAUUCAGGAGAUUUUGUUUCUACUAACCUCUUUUAAUGAACUCUACCUCUCAGUGCUUGGCCUGUCUAUGUGAUAAAUAGUAUGUGACUACAAUCACUUCUUAUUAGGCCUAGUGAAAUAUAGACCCUAAUCUCAUUCACUUUCAGUUUUUAACAUAAAGAAUUUUCUUCCCUGAACCUCAGCUAGUUUUAUAGUAGAGCAUUCAGUAAUAUAUAAUAUUCUAGAAAAAAAUAUAACUUGUUUGUAAUAUAAAGAAUAUAAAGUCAUUAAAUUGACCUAUUAAAACUGCUAUUCAGUUUAUUUGAAUGUGCAGGUUAUUCCUGUGAACUACAAUAAUAGAGCUAAACAUAUAAUAAGCACAUGAGAGGCAAGUAUAUCAGUAUGCAUGAUUAGUCUUCAUUUGUGAUGUUAUAGGGAAGAGGAAAAGCCGUAAGAAACCAUUGGAUUACUUUACAUUGAUUAAAAAAGAGCUAAAUAGCAAAGACUUGCACACAUAUCAUGAACUCCUGAAUGUAAUCAGUCCUGCUCCAUUCCCUAUUCACUGGCUUCCUUACCUUCCUUAGUACAUCAAUACAUACAGAAUCACAGAAUCACAGAAUUUCUAGGUUGGAAGAGACCUCAAGAUCAUCGAGUCCAACCUCUGACCACUACUGACCACUAACA